rnacentral:tRNA from 1 species
GGGUCAUUAGCUUAAUGGUAGAGCCAUCGGCUGCAACCCGGUAGGAGCGCGUUCGAUUCCCGCAUGACCCU